UAGAAUGCGAUAUGCAAUGUGAAUUGCAGAACCACGAAUCAUCGGAUCUUUGAACGCAACUGGCGCUGAUAAACUCAGCAUACUUGUUUCAGUGUGCUCAAACAAAUAAAUAAUAAAAAUGUGAGAGAUUAUCUCUUAUGAAAUAAAUGCUCUCAGCAGCAAUCACAUUAUUGUGAUCUGUCUGAGUGAUAUAAGCCUUAUUCGCACCUGAAAUCAAGUAAGAUGACCCGCUGGACUUAA
rnacentral:misc_RNA from 1 species